ACAUGAGUUAUGCCUGAAGUGCAUGACUUGAUCUUUAUUUUUAAUACUAUGGCCUUGGUACAGGUUGAACUUCAAAAACUAUCAUUAUGUCCUGGUCUUUGUUUUUGCCAUCGAGGAGAUCAACAGGAGCCCCCAGCUGCUCCCCACCCUGUCUCUGGGUUUCCAUGUCUACAAUUCCUUCCACAGUGAUGUCAGCACCUUGGUGAGCACCCUGAGGUGGUUAUCGGGAUGGGGUCAGAUGAUCCCUAAUUACACCUGCCAGGCACAGAACAAGAAUGUGGCUGUCACUGCAGGAACCACACCAGCAUUCUCUGCCCACAUUGGGACACUGUUGGAGCUCUACAAAAUACCACAGAGAACUCAAUAUGGAACACUUUUUCUCUUUUGAUUCAGACAACCUAUGGAGAUUUUGAUCCUGUACUGAAAGGAACUGAAUGUGGAAAUUUUUGGAGUGUCCAUUCAAUGCCUCCCUGGAGUCUCUGCCAAAGGAAA